rnacentral:tRNA from 1 species
GCCCCCAUCGUCUAGCGGACCAGGACACCGGCCUUUCAAGCCGGAAAUCAGGGGUUCGAAUCCCCUUGGGGGCAC